AAAGCGUGCGCAGGCGGUUUUGUAAGACUGUCGUGAAAUCCCCGGGCUCAACCUGGGAAUGGCGAUGGUGACUGCAAGGCUAGAGUUUGGCAGAGGGGGGUAGAAUUCCACGUGUAGCAGUGAAAUGCGUAGAUAUGUGGAGGAACACCGAUGGCGAAGGCAGCCCCCUGGGUCAAAACUGACGCUCAUGUACGAAAGCGUGGGGAGCAAACAGGAUUAGAUACCCUAGU
rnacentral:rRNA from 1 species